ensembl:snRNA U6 U6 spliceosomal RNA
GUGCUCCCUUCAGCAGCAUAUAUAUUAAAAUUGGAACAUACAGAGAUAAGCAUGGCUCCUGCACAAGGAUGACAGUAAAUUCUUGAAGCAUUCAAUAUUUUC